rnacentral:rRNA from 1 species
UCGAUUGAGUUUGAUCAUGGCUCAGGAUGAACGCUAGCGGCAGGCUUAAUACAUGCAAGUCGAGGGGCAGCGCAGGUAGCAAUACCGGGUGGCGACCGGCAAACGGGUGCGGAACACGUACGCAACCUUCCCAAAACUGGUGAAUAGCCCUCCGAAAGGAGGAUUAAUACACCGUAAGAUAGAGAGAUGGCAUCAUUUUACUAUUAUAGACUUCGGUCGGUUUUGGAUGGGCGUGCGCCUGAUUAGGUAGUUGGCGGGGUAAUGGCCCACCAAGCCUGCGAUCAGUAACUGGUGUGAGAGCACGACCAGUCACACGGGCACUGAGACACGGGCCCGACUCCUACGGGAGGCAGCAGUAAGGAAUAUUGGUCAAUGGACGCAAGUCUGAACCAGCCAUGCCGCGUGAAGGAUGAAGGCCCUCUGGGUUGUAAACUUCUUUUAUCUGGGACGAAAAAAGGGGAUUCUUCCUCACUUGACGGUACCAGAGGAAUAAGCACCGGCUAACUCCGUGCCAGCAGCCGCGGUAAUACGGAGGGUGCAAGCGUUAUCCGGAUUUACUGGGUUUAAAGGGUGCGUAGGUGGGUAGGUAAGUCAGUGGUGAAAUCUUCGAGCUUAACUCGGAAACUGCCAUUGAUACUAUUUAUCUUGAAUACUUUGGAGG